rnacentral:rRNA from 1 species
CCCCGGCGCCACAAGUGGUCAUCGCGAUUAUUGGGCCUAAAGCGUUCGUAGCCGGUCUGGUGAAUCUCUUGUGAAAUUGUUCGGCUUAACCGGACAGCGUGCAGGAGACACUGCCAGACUCGAGACCGGGAGGCGUAAGGAGUAUUCCAUGGGGACUGGUAAAAUGGGAUAAUCCAUGGAAGACUACCGAUGGCGAAGGCAUCUUACGAGAACGGAUCUGACGGUGAGGAACGAAAGCCAGGGGAGCGAACCGG